rnacentral:rRNA from 1 species
CCUACGGGUGGCUGCAGUAGGGAAUAUUGCACAAUGGGGGAAACCCUGAAGCAGCAACGCCGCGUGGAGGAUGAAGGUUUUCGGAUUGUAAAGUCCUUUUGUUAGAGAAGAUAAUGACGGUAUCUAACGAAUAAGCACCGGCUAACUCCGUGCCAGCAGCCGCGGUAAUACGGAGGGUGCAAGCGUUACUCGGAAUCACUGGGCGUAAAGAGCGCGUAGGCGGGAUAGCAAGUCAGGUGUGAAAUCCUAUGGCUUAACCAUGGAACUGCGUUUGAAACUGUGCAUCUAGAGUAUGGGAGGGGUAAGUGGAAUUCUUGGUGUAGGGGUAAAAUGCGUAGAGAUUAGGAGGAACACUCGUUGCGAAGGCGACUUACUAGACUGUAACUGACGUUGAGGCUCGAAAGCGUGGGGAGCAAACAGGAUUAGAUACCCCAGUAGUC